rnacentral:lncRNA from 1 species
GUGGCUUUGAACUAGCUGUCAGAUAACUGCGAGUACUCUCAGAUCUGUUCAUUGUGUCUUUUGGUGUCGGGAUGUAUAAGUACCGGGCCACGUCCACUUGUAUUUUUGUCCAUCUGAUGAGUUAAGCCUUUUUCAACUGAUUUUUAUAGUUCAUUCUUAUGUUGUACUGUUAUACCACUGUCCCAGGUUAGGGGGGUUGGGAUCCCGCUAACAUGUGUAACCCCGCCACAUUAUUUAUGUAUGUGCCUGUCCCAAGUUAGGAGCCUGUAAUUCAGUGGUUGUCGUUUGUUUACGUGUUACAUAUUUGUUUUUUUUCGUUCAUUUUUUUACAUAAAUAAGGACAUUAGUUUUCUCGUUUGAAUUGUUUUACAUUGUCUUAUCGGGGCCUUUUAUAGCUGACUAUGCGGUAUGGGCUUUGCUCAUUGUUGAAGGCCGUACGGUGACCUAUAGUUGUUAAUGUCUGUGUCAUUUUGGUCUUUUGUGGAUAGUUGUCUCAUUGGCAAUCAUACCACAUUUUCUUUUUUUUUAUAUUAGUAUUUAAGACAGUGGCUUAAAAUUCCAUUAUAUUGACAGCGAUGUG